rnacentral:lncRNA from 1 species
UUACUUUGAUUCAAUAAAUACCUCUCUUUUUUUGAUAAAUAAGAAUAUUACUUUUCAAACUUUCUUAAUAAUUUUGUUGCUAGAAGAUCCUUCUUAGGCCUUUCAAUCUACUUGAAAAUGAUUUCUUUGUGAUCUAAUCACUAUCUUUUAAGAAAAAUUCAUCCUUCAAUGCUAGAAAAAAUUUCUCCCAUGAACCUCCACAAUGUCCUAUAAUAGACCUCACAUGAUUUCUUAUCUCCAGAGCAAUAGCCAGUUCAAAUAAUUGAACCAUCUUCCUUUUUGGAACAAGCUUCAACUCUAUUUCUUUACUAUAGCACCUUAAAUACUUUGUAAUGUUCUUCCUUUAAAUUGAUCAAUCUUAUCU